AUGAACGCUGGCGGCAGGCCUAACACAUGCAAGUCGAGCGAAGUCUUCGGACUUAGCGGCGGACGGGUGAGUAACGCGUGGGAACAUGCCCUUUGGUGCGGAAUAGCCCCGGGAAACUGGGAGUAAUACCGCAUGUGCCCUUCGGGGGAAAGAUUUAUCGCCAAAGGAUUGGCCCGCGUUGGAUUAGGUAGUUGGUGGGGUAAUGGCCUACCAAGCCGACGAUCCAUAGCUGGUUUGAGAGGAUGAUCAGCCACACUGGGACUGAGACACGGCCCAGACUCCUACGGGAGGCAGCAGUGGGGAAUCUUAGACAAUGGGCGCAAGCCUGAUCUAGCCAUGCCGCGUGAUCGAUGAAGGCCUUAGGGUUGUAAAGAUCUUUCAGUGGGGAAGAUAAUGACGGUACCCACAGAAGAAGCCCCGGCUAACUCCGU
rnacentral:rRNA from 1 species